rnacentral:rRNA from 1 species
UACGAAGGUCCCAAGCGUUGUUCGGAAUCACUGGGCGUAAAGGGCGCGUAGGCGGCGCGGUAAGUCAGAUGUGAAAUCCCGGGGCUCAACCCCGGAACUGCAUCCGAUACUGCCGUGCUCGAGGAUUGGAGAGGUAGCUGGAAUUCUUGGUGUAGCAGUGAAAUGCGUGGAUAUCAAGAGGAACACUCGUGGCGAAAGCGAGCUACUGGACAACUCCUGACGCUGAGGCUCGAAGGCCAGGGGAGCGAAAGGG